rnacentral:rRNA from 1 species
GACGAACGCUGGCGGCGUGCUUAACACAUGCAAGUCGAACGCUGAAGACCUGGCUUUUGUUGGGUUGGAUGAGUGGCGAACGGGUGAGUAACACGUGAGUAACCUGCCCUCUUCUUUGGGAUAACGCCCGGAAACGGGUGCUAAUACUGGAUAUUCACUGAUCUUCGCAUGGGGGUUGGUGGAAAGGUUUGUUCUGGUGGGGGAUGGGCUCGCGGCCUAUCAGCUUGUUGGUGGGGUGAUGGCCUACCAAGGCUUUGACGGGUAGCCGGCCUGAGAGGGUGACCGGUCACAUUGGGACUGAGAUACGGCCCAGACUCCUACGGGAGGCAGCAGUGGGGAAUAUUGCACAAUGGGCGAAAGCCUGAGGCAGCGACGCCGCGUGAGGGAUGGAGGCCUUCGGGUUGGAAACCUCUUUCGCUCAUGGUCAAGCCGCAACUGUGGGUUGUGGUGAGGGUAGUGGGUAAAGAAGCGCCGGCUAACUACGUG